GAAAUGCGAUAAGUAAUGUGAAUUGCAGAAUUCAGUGAAUCAUCGAAUCUUUGAACGCACCUUGCGCUCCUUGGUAUUCCUUGGAGCAUGCCUGUUUGAGUAUUAUGAAAUCUUCAAAGUAAAUCUUUUGUUAACUCAAUUGGUUUCUACUUUGGUAUUGGAGGUCUUUGCAGCUUCACACCUGCUCCUCUUUGUUCAUUAGCUGGUUCUCAGUGUUAUGCUUGGUUCCACUCGGCGUGAUAAGUUAUCUAUCGCUGAGGACACUGUAAAAGGUGGCCAAGGUAAAUGCAGAUGAACCGCUUCUAAUAGUCCAUUGACUUGGACAAUACUUUUAUGAUCUGAUCUCAAAUCAGGUAGGACUACCCGCUGAACUUAAGC
rnacentral:misc_RNA from 1 species